GGCGUUACAGUUCAAGGGCGUGCGGUCAGGGGAGGCAGGUGAGGCAGAGCCUCACCUCUGAAUGCGCAUUGCAUUGCACAAUCAUCACAAACUGGGUCGAUACGUGCAAAUGGCUCGUGCUGCUUGCCGUAUAGCUGCCUGUCACAAAUAUAAUGUUUAGCCAAUUGAAUAAGAUACCCUUUUUUGAUUUGUAUAUUUGUAAAUCUGACACCAAAGGAGUCAGUGCCUCACCAACCAUGCACCUCACCGCACGCCACUG